AUGCACUCUAGAUUGGAAGAAGUGUUUGUAUGCUUAUGAAUACAUUAUUUCAGAUGGUGCUUUUUCUUUGGGAUGUAGGAACCUUCAAAAACUUCUGGUUUUGUAAAGACUGAUGUACUGCAAGUUCUGAUUUUAGGGCAAAGAUUAGUCCGAUCUCGGUUCCCUGUAGUCUGCUUCAGGAAUUUUGGAUUCUAAUAAUGCACUGCAAGUUGGCUGAUUGGUUUUAGGACAAAUAUCCCAAUAUGGGGUGCUGAAGAUGAACUGUAAUGUGGGGAAAAGUCAGCAGAUUUGAAGGGAUAUUUGAUUCUAAUAAUGGACUGGAAAUGGGCCACUUGAUUUUAAGGACAAAUAACGAUUUGUUCUGCCGUGAUUUCUGUUUCUGGGGUGAAGGCUGUGAUAUCUACAUUGCUCUCUAAACAGCAAAGGCCGGAGGGAAUAAGGCACUUUUUAUUGGAACACCAUUACUGCAGCUGGUUUACAAGAGGUAAAAGUAGCAGGUAAGUAGCAUCAAGUCGAGCAGGAAACCUUCUGGGGACUGUCCUGUGUUCAGUGGUUGGUUGGAGAAAAUUAAGGACUAGAAUUAAUGCCUAUACAUCAUUUAGCUCUUGACAUUAAAUUAUUCAGAAUUUUUUUUUUUUUUUUUUUUUUUUUUUUUUUUUUUUUUUUUCCUCUAUGCAAAUUAACAAAUGUAAAUUGUCAUUUAUUUUAAUUGUGAAAAGUUAAACCUCACAGGAUGAGCAGUUCUUUGCAUCACUCGGUUCAAAGUCCAGGACAGUCCUUCAUUUUCAGGUGGAAGCUGAUUUAGUGAAUGUUCUAGUUCUUAGGUGUAACUUUUUUAACAAUUGUUAUAGGUCUUGGGUCCUUUCUGUCUUGUUUUUAGGAAAUAAUGUAAUACAGGUCCUUAAAGUCGCUGAUGUAGAUUGAUAUAAUUGAAUGCCUAAUAAUUUACUUGAUUUUAGAAACUUCAAAAUUAGUCAGAUUUAAUACCGACCUUUUCAGGAAGGAUUAAUUUUCUUUGAAGUUUUCAAUAGAUAUUAAUUUUAGUGCAUGCUUCUGCGUGUUGUACCCCCUUUUCUUGGCGAGAAAUAAAAUGGAAAAUAAAAA